GGAAUUUUCCGCAAUGGGCGAAAGUCUGACGGAGCAACGCCGCGUGAGUGAAGAAGGCCUUCGGGUUGUAAAGCUCUGUCUUUGGGGACGAAUGUUAAUGACGGUACCUGAGGAGGAAGCCACGGCUAACUACGUGCCAGCAGCCGCGGUAAUACGGAGGAUGCAAGCGUUAUCCGGAAUGAUUGGGCGUAAGGAGCGCGCAGGCGGUUUUUCAAGUCAGAUGUGAAAGAGGUCGGCUUAACCGACAAGGGUCAUUUGAAACUGGGAGACUAGAGUGCAGCAGAGGAUAGCGGAAUUCCCGGUGUAGUGGUGAAAUGCGUAGAUAUCGGGAGGAACACCAGUGGCGAAGGCGGCUAUCUGGGCUGUAACUGACGCUGAGGCGCGAAGGCUAGGGUAGCAAACAGGAUUAGAUACCCCAAGUC
rnacentral:rRNA from 1 species